CUAGUGCCAGCUGCACAGAAGUCCAGAAUGAGAAUGACUAGUGAGAAGCAUGCUGGUCUCUGAGCUGGUUAGACUGGAUGCUUUGAUCUUUGCCCCUCCUUGAAAUACCAGUCUUUGUUUAUAUAAAAGUUAAGCAUUUGCUAAGGGAAUCCAAGUGGGUGCUCUGUGAUUCUGCAGCACACAACACUGGUGAUCUAGCCCCUUCCCACCCUGGAGCUGACAGUCUGCAUAAGAUGCCUCAAAAUCAAACGAAGGGUACUUGCACAUUAAGUAUUAAGGUGGAGUCUGUAGAAGGAAAAAGCUUCCAUUUAAAAAGGACCAUAAAAGGUAGGCCUGCUCUCAUUUAACAUCUUCAAUGGCAUGGGAGUGGCCGCAUACAGCACACUAUGGAUAUUUUCUGCUGGUACUCAAUUGGGCCUGACUUCCUAAAUGACUUUUUAAAGGGCAGCAGCGCUGGCCAUAAGAGUGACUCAGUGAAAAGAUCCCCUUGCUCCUAUCUGCUCCCCGGCGCCUCCCGAGUUAGACCUGCCUGGUGCACUGAUAGCGACCGGCUUGUGCUGCCGUCCACACGGCGGAGUUGAUAGCGCAGCAUUAGCUGCUGCCAGAGGCAGGAGGCCGGGCAAGACGGCCCCUUGCUCCGAGUGGGCAGCCGCUCCGGUUAGUCUGCGCAUUGGAUCGCGCCUCGUGCCCCAGCCAGGCUCCAAUCCCUCCGGCUCUGACAGACGCCAGGUGGAGGUAAAUCCCCAGCUCUGCUCU